CCCUAGCCGCCUCGCUCUCUUUCUCGCGCGUCGCCGCCUGCCUCCUCUCCUCCCCGCGACCCAGCACCACGUCUUCUCUCAGGUGCCCACUCGCCCCGCCCCCGAUUGAACCCUAGCCGCCACUCCUCGCUGGCCAUUCUCCCCGUCCAUGGCCGCCACGUGCAUCGCCGCCAGAGGGCGUCGCCGGGUGUGCGCGUGCCUCCGCGGAUUCGCGCCGCGGUUGCCGGAGGCGUGGGCACCGCGGGUCAACCUCCUCGGGGACGAUGGGCGCCACAAGCCUCGUCGAAGGUCGCCUCUUCAUCCGCCACGACUCCGGCGCUCGUCCUGCUCACCGACGGUUGCCUGUCCAUCCGCCACGGCAGCGGUGCUUGUUCUCCUCCUUGGCUAUCCGCCUUCCCAUCCGCCAUGGCUGUGGCCUCCAAGCUUCGGGUUGUGAUGGCUUAGCUGCACCAUGACGCUGGUCUCUUGUUCUUAUCGUCGUUGAUGUGUCAGAUCUGUUGUUGUGCUAGCUGAACUGUAGGUUGGUUCAUUGUUUCUGGUUUCACGUCUUCUUGGUCGAUCCCUUGUCCGGCAUGUGCCUGCAUGUUGUCUCCCUGCCGCGGCAUUACGGAUCUGCAGGUUUUGUAGAUGGUAGCCUUACAGGCUGUGCUCCAAAUGGGUAAAAGGAAGUUUCUACUUGCUGUUCUAAGAUUCAGACAUCAGGCACAUACAUAAUAUAUCAUCUCUUAUGACUCCAAUGGUUUGUAUCCUGGAAGCAAUUCGGGUCCUCUGUUUUUCAAGCAGCUUGUGUCUUAUGCAUGAUUAGUGGGUUAUACACUACACUUUUUAUUUUAAAUGCGACCAUAUAGACAUAGCAAUCAAGCUAUAUUAUAAAUCCUAUUAGUAUCUUUUUCAUUGUUGAUGCGUUCUUCCAAAAAUCUUGUGCCCAAUAUUCUGCUUGGAUGUAGGAUUCAUUAUAGCUAUUUCAAUAGUCCUCCCGGCCAGGCGAAUACGCAGUGAAUAGCGACCUUGCACCGAGGGUAAAUCUUGCUGUCGGCCACAUAUUGUACCAUAGCUAGAAAUUGUCUUCUCACUUUGUAAUCCAAAGAAUUAGCUUUUUGUUCUUUUCCGCAACUUUUUCAUAUGUAGGGCCUACAUGUUCUGGCAGCUAAUUGAAAGAAACUAUCUCCAGUUCUGCCAAACACUACCGUAGUCACGUGUCCUAUUCUUUAGUAAUUAGCAGCACAAGGAAACUGAUAGGUGUUGCACGCACAAUUCCCCUUUGGUGCCGUGCAGAUUGAAAAAUCAACAAGUACCCUGAUUUUGGUGCCAGACAUAUGAUGUGUGCUCUUCACAGAAGUUUUAGUUGGCAUACAUGCGUGCAAAUGGAUAUAUCUAUUACAAAUGCUCACAAUAAUAUGUUUCAUCCCACGCCUGUAAAUUAACUAUAAGGUUUAUAUUUUAUCAGAUGCAUGGGCACUUGUCGUUGCAGCAAGAGUUGCCACCAAAUCAGAUUAGAAGUUUUUUAAACAGGUUCCUAUAUUACUCUAUUUCUGCCACCAAAACAUUUAGUGAAGGUUCUUGGCGUUUUUAAUAAUUAUAGCUACUUCUCUAUUUCUGCCAAUAAUGCAUUACUCCGCAAUUGUGGACUUUUUCUUGGUCCCAAGUUCUGAAUAUGCAUUAAUCCAACACCUAUUUUUGACCCCGUAGAUGAAUUUAUCCCUGGGUGUUUAUGCACGGAAGGAGGAGGCAUACCAAUGAUAGUUUGAAUCAAACCAGUAAAGGAUGCAACCGUCGGUUAUGGUGUCGAGCGAUUGAACUGUAGUGAACUGGUAGUGCGACUGUUAACCUCCUUGAAACCAUUCACGUUCGUCGCUCUUCAACUCACGCAACAGACAAGCAACUCUUCUUUUAUAACUAUAGACAAUUGCAUGGAUGUACCAAUUGUUGUCCAGUAACCUUUGAAAGUUGAACACAAAGAAUCUGCGCCCUAGGAUAAUUGCAAGGAAGGGAAUCACAUAUGUGAGUGCCCUUCAGAAAACCCAGUGGCACGUGGCAUAUCAGAAGGAACCAAAAUUGUAAUCCCCAAGUGCGCCGAGCACUUUCUAUUCUGUAGGAAGAUGAGCUUGAGAGUUGAGAGGUGGGUUAUAGUAACUAUGCUCAUGAAUCUCCAUUUGCCAUACUUGAAAGUUGGGAUAUGUAAUCUCCGUUGGAUUAUAUAAGCUUGUUAAGACAGACUAAUAUGCAUAAAUUUUUGCAUGGAAUGCUUCUAAUAUGCUACCUAAUAAUAAGGCAGUUCCCAUUUUAACAAAUUUCAUGAUGAAUCAUAAAUCUUCAUACGUGCACACAUAGUGUAACCUCUUUCCUGUAAGCAUCCAGGCUUUUGAUUGAUUGGUUUGAGGUGCAACCAUGCCUAUCAAAUGAGGAACACGUUACCCUUCUCAGCCACCCAAAAAUACUGUUACCUUUAGUACUCGAUGUAGCAUGCAUUCCCUUUUUCAUUAUCACCCAGUGGUGGCCUUAGAAAGAAAAGCUUGCAUUAAAUUUUUGUGCUGUACUAAUUAUUAUGACCUGGUCUAAUUAUUAUAAAUCCUUCGACCUAUGUAAUGUACUCCUGAUACUAUUAUAUCAUGCUGCAUUUCCUGUGAUAUAUCAAAUAUCUAUCCUUUGUCCUAAACAAGAGGCCUUACAGUUAUACUAAGCAAUACUGAUUUGGUCAGUAUAUAAUAUUGCAAUGCUUAUAACCCUUUGGUCAGUGGCCCAUCUGAAUUGAGAUGCACUACUGGAAUCGGGGAUUUUGCCGUCUGCCAGUUCUUUGCCGUCAGCUAGCAGACGGCAAAGAAGGUCUUUGCCAUCAGCUACCCAAAAGCAGACGGCAAACAACUGGCAGACGGCAA